rnacentral:rRNA from 1 species
AGAGUUUGAUCCUGGCUCAGGGUGAACGCUGGCGGCGUGGAUGAGGCAUGCAAGUCGAGUGGGUUUAGACCCACGGCAGACGAGGUAGGAACACGUAGGUACGUACCGAAGAGUCAGGGAUAACCCGGCGAAAGUCGGAGUAAUACUUGAUGGUCCCGUAAGGGUAAAGAUUUAUCGCUCUUUGAACGGCCUGCGGUCUAUCAGCUUGUUGGUAAGGUAACGGCUUACCAAGGCUACGACGGAUAGGGGAGCUGAGAGGCUGACCCCCACCGAUGGAACUGCGACACGGUCCAUACUCCUACGGGAGGCCGCAGUCGAGAACCUUCCGCAAUGGACGAAAGUCUGACGGAGCGACGCCGCGUGGUUGAUGAAGUCCUUCGGGACGUAAAAACCUUUUAUGGAGGAGAAAGUUUAUUGAUGUACUCCA